UACGUAGGUGGCAAGCGUUGUCCGGAUUUAUUGGGCGUAAAGCGAGCGCAGGCGGUUUCUUAAGUCUGAUGUGAAAGCCCCCGGCUCAACCGGGGAGGGUCAUUGGAAACUGUGGAACUGGAGUGCAGGAGAGGUAAGUGGAAUUCCUAGUGUAGCGGUGAAAUGCGUAGAUAUAUGGAGGAACACCAGUGGCGAAGGCGGCUCUCUGGUCUGUAACUGACGCUGAGGCUCGAAAGCGUGGGGAGCAAAC
rnacentral:rRNA from 1 species